AAAAAAAAUCUGCUCACUAUUUUUACUGCACACUUUUCUAAUUUGUUAGCAUUGAGAAAGUGUUUAUUUUAUGGAUAAUACUUAUGAGAUGUUUUGGUAGAUAAUUAUAUUGUUUGUUUCAAUCUUUCAAUAGUUUUUAUCUGACUUUUUAUAAAGAAUUCACAAGUUAGUUUACUAAAGUCAGUAAAAUGUUUGAUUUAUUUCUUUAUAGAUGGACGGUGUUAUAGAUGGCUCUUUAUCUGAAUCCAGCAAUGAUCCAGAAAGUGACUACAUGCCGUCAAUGUCUGAUAGUUCAUCCUCAACAGUGGCACCUGGUCAAGAGUCACAAGUCAGUGGAAGUCAGGCUCAAAACUCAGAUGCCUGUUCAAGAUUCUGAUGAAGAACCGGACAUUCUGACUCAAAAGACCUCAACUCCAAGACCAUCAGAUCAGGCCUGCUGAAAAAGACUGAGAAAACAGGGAGCGAUUGACAGUACCCCCAAAAGAAGUUCCAUGGUAGGCCUUGGUGUUGUGAAAAAAAGACGACAGUACGGCGACAGCACAUCACUCUGAAUAGAGUUCCUGGUAAAGAACUUAGUCUCAAGGCUCUUGAUGCAGAACUGAUACUCGCCACUGGAGAGAUGUUAAGAACCAAAUCUACAAUUCCAUCACAUCCCAAAAAAGUCAAGUUUGAGUUUAUCAGUCUAUUGUCUAAAAAGUGUUAGGUAACACUUUAAAAGUGGUCAAGGAGGUUCUUUGCCUCACUCUAUGACUAUUUCACUUCAUGCUAAACUGCUGUUGAUGCACUUAACAGUUGAUGAAUCUGUUAUAGAUCAGUUGAUUACCUCAUAUUGAUAAUAAUGGCACUUUUUGAUGACACUAAUUAACCAUGACCACGUGUAUUGAUGACACUUAUUGAUAAUAAUAAUGAUGGCAAUUCUUAUUGGUAAUAGCGUUGAUAAUGAGACUUGAUACUGACACCGCUUAUUGAUAAAGACCCUA